rnacentral:rRNA from 1 species
AGCGAACGCUGGCGGCAGGCUUAACACAUGCAAGUCGAGCGGGCACUUCGGUGUCAGCGGCAGACGGGUGAGUAACACGUGGGAACGUACCCUUUGGUUCGGAAUAACGCUGGGAAACUAGCGCUAAUACCGGAUACGCCCUUUUGGGGAAAGGCUUGCUGCCGAAGGAUCGGCCCGCGUCUGAUUAGCUAGUUGGUGGGGUAAUGGCCUACCAAGGCGACGAUCAGUAGCUGGUCUGAGAGGAUGAUCAGCCACACUGGGACUGAGACACGGCCCAGACUCCUACGGGAGGCAGCAGUGGGGAAUAUUGGACAAUGGGCGCGAGCCUGAUCCAGCCAUGCCGCGUGAGUGAUGAAGGCCUUAGGGUUGUAAAGCUCUGUUGUCCGGGACGAUAAUGACGGUACCGAAAGAAUAAGCCCCGGCUAACUUCGUG